AUUAGGCUACGGGCGGCCGCUGGCAGAAGUUCUGGCGGCGGCGCUCGCGGCCCUGCGCGCCGGAGGGGGCGCCCGGAGUCCAGCGGGCCAAGAAGGGCAGGGCGCCCGCUCCUCGCCCCCCGCCGCGCCGCGGCCCCAGGGGACCGCAAGGGGACAGUGAGGGGCCGGGCCUGGCACCGACGCAAGCUCGGGGAGCGCGGGUGGUGGGAGGCGGCGCGUGUUGAACAGGAAGUGCGCGGCGUGCAGCGCCACCGUCCCGCUCCCCGUCGCCCCACGCCGCCCUCGUCGCCGCGCCCAGACCCCUGCGGCGGCCGCAGCCGCUUGGGACUCGCUGCGAGCUGGUUUCGGAUCCAUCCCGCCUCCCGGCGUCUCACUGUGUGCCCUACCCUUUGAAACACGCCCCCGCGCCCGCCCUGCCGUAGACCAGGCAGCGAGGAAGCCCACAGUCUCCGGGGGCGCUGCGCGCGAAGUAGCACGUGCUUCUCGAAACACCGCAGCCCCCGGGUCCCGCCCCGCCCGGCGCGCGCACUCGAACCCGCCCAGAGAGCGGUGCGUGGCGCUGGGUGCGAGCAGGGUCUAGCCACCCCCACCCUCACCCCACCCCACCCCACCCUGCUUUUUUCAGGUUCAUCAAGGUUUGCGCAGUGGAUCCGCGGGUGCAUAAAACACCCUAUUUGAUGAGAACUGGUUUUAAAGGAAAAUGGGGCCAUCAGAAGGAAGCCGGUUGGUGUGAAGAGACGUCUGGGAAGAGCCCCUGGCGAGGGCCCUCAUUCCACUGGGUGACCCAGAAGGAGAAAACCGCGAUGGCGCUUCUCAUUUGAAAUGUUUUCUUUAUGGACAGUGUUUAGCAAUUGUUAUAAUGUGUACUUUUGUUGAUUGAUCUGUAUACAUAUGUAAAAUAAUUUGUUCUCUGAGUUAAUUUUGUUG
rnacentral:lncRNA from 10 species